GUCUACAACCAUACCUCCCUGAAAGGGCCCAAUCCUAUCUGAUCUUGGAAGCUAAGCAGAGUCAGGCUUAGUUAUUGCUUGGAUGGGAGAGUAGUAAAUC
ensembl:rRNA 5S_rRNA 5S ribosomal RNA